GGUUCAGGAUGAGCGCUAGCGACAGGCCUAACACAUGCAAGUCGAGGGGCAGCACAAGGAGCAAUCUGAGGUGGCGACCGGCGCACGGGUGAGUAACACGUAUGCAACCUGCCUGUAAGCGGGGAAUAACCCGUUGAAAGACGGACUAAUACCGCAUAAUACUAAAUUACUGCAUGGUAAUUUAUUUAAACAUUUAUGGCUUACAGAUGGGCAUGCGCAUGAUUAGCUAGUUGGAGAGGUAACGGCUCCCCAAGGCAACGAUCAUUAGGGGUUCUGAGAGGAAGGUCCCCCCACACUGGUACUGAGACACGGACCAGACUCCUACGGGAGGCAGCAGUGAGGAAUAUUGGUCAAUGGACGAGAGUCUGAACCAGCCAAGUCGCGUGCAGGAAGAAUUGUCCUAUGGAUUGUAAACUGCUUUUGCAGGGGAAUAAAGUGCAUCACGUGUGAUGUUUUGUAUGUACUCUGCGAAUAAGGAUCGGCUAACUCCGUGCCAGCCGCCGC
rnacentral:rRNA from 1 species